rnacentral:rRNA from 1 species
UGUGGCUGGGGGUGAAAGGCCAAUCAAACCGGGAGAUAGCUGGUUCUCCCCGAAAGCUAUUUAGGUAGCGCCUCGUGAACUCAUCUUCGGGGGUAGAGCACUGUUUCGGCUAGGGGGUCAUCCCGACUUACCAACCCGAUGCAAACUACGAAUACCGAAGAAUGUUAUCACGGGAGACACACGGCGGGUGCUAACGUCCGUCGUGAAGAGGGAAACAACCCAGACCGCCAGCUAAGGUCCCAAAGUCAUGGUUAAGUGGGAAACGAUGUGGGAAGGCACAGACAGCCAGGAUGUUGGCUUAGAAGCAGCCAUCAUUUAAAGAAAGCGUAAUAGCUCACUGGUCGAGUCGGCCUGCGCGGAAGAUGUAACGGGGCUAAACCAUGCACCGAAGCUGCGGCAGCGACACUAUGUGUUGUUGGGUAGGGGAGCGUUCUGUAAGCCUGCGAAGGUGACCUGUGAGGGUUGCUGGAGGUAUCAGAAGUGCGAAUGCUGACAUAAGUAACGAUAAAGCGGGUGAAAAGCCCGCUCGCCGGAAGACCAAGGGUUCCUGUCCAACGUUAAUCGGGGCAGGGUGAGUCGACCCCUAAGGCGAGGCCGAAAGGCGUAGUCGAUGGGAAACAGGUUAAUAUUCCUGUACUUGGUGUUACUGCGAAGGGGGGACGGAGAAGGCUAUGUUAGCCGGGCGACGGUUGUCCCGGUUUAAGCAUGUAGGCUGGUUAUCCAGGCAAAUCCGGAUAAUCAAGGCUGAGGUGUGAUGACGAGGCACUACGGUGCUGAAGUAACAAAUGCCCUGCUUCCAGGAAAAGCCUCUAAGCAUCAGGUAACAUCAAAUCGUACCCCAAACCGACACAGGUGGUCAGGUAGAGAAUACCAAGGCGCUUGAGAGAACUCGGGUGAAGGAACUAGGCAAAAUGGUGCCGUAACUUCGGGAGAAGGCACGCUGGUGUGUAGGUGAAGUCCCUGCGGAUGGAGCUGAGACCAGUCGAAGAUACCAGCUGGCUGCAACUGUUUAUUAAAAACACAGCACUGUGCAAACACGAAAGUGGACGUAUACGGUGUGACGCCUGCCCGGUGCCGGAAGGUUAAUUGAUGGGGUUAUCCGUAAGGAGAAGCUCUUGAUCGAAGCCCCGGUAAACGGCGGCCGUAACUAUAACGGUCCUAAGGUAGCGAAAUUCCUUGUCGGGUAAGUUCCGACCUGCACGAAUGGCGUAAUGAUGGCCAGGCUGUCUCCACCCGAGACUCAGUGAAAUUGAACUCGCUGUGAAGAUGCAGUGUACCCGCGGCAAGACGGAAAGACCCCGUGAACCUUUACUAUAGCUUGACACUGAACAUUGAGCCUUGAUGUGUAGGAUAGGUGGGAGGCUUUGAAGCGUGGACGCCAGUCUGCGUGGAGCCAACCUUGAAAUACCACCCUUUAAUGUUUGAUGUUCUAACGUUGGCCCCUGACCGGGGUUGCGGACAGUGUCUGGUGGGUAGUUUGACUGGGGCGGUCUCCUCCCAAAGCGUAACGGAGGAGCACGAAGGUUAGCUAAUCCUGGUCGGACAUCAGGAGGUUAGUGCAAUGGCAUAAGCUAGCUUGACUGCGAGCGUGACGGCGCGAGCAGGUGCGAAAGCAGGUCAUAGUGAUCCGGUGGUUCUGAAUGGAAGGGCCAUCGCUCAACGGAUAAAAGGUACUCCGGGGAUAACAGGCUGAUACCGCCCAAGAGUUCAUAUCGACGGCGGUGUUUGGCACCUCGAUGUCGGCUCAUCACAUCCUGGGGCUGAAGUAGGUCCCAAGGGUAUGGCUGUUCGCCAUUUAAAGUGGUACGCGAGCUGGGUUUAGAACGUCGUGAGACAGUUCGGUCCCUAUCUGCCGUGGGCGCUGGAGAAUUGAGGGGGGCUGCUCCUAGUACGAGAGGACCGGAGUGGACGCAUCACUGGUGUUCGGGUUGUCAUGCCAAUGGCACUGCCCGGUAGCUAAAUGCGGAAGAGAUAAGUGCUGAAAGCAUCUAAGCACGAAACUUGCCCCGAGAUGAGUUCUCCCUGAGACUUUAAGUCUCCUGAAGGAACGUUGAAGACGACGACGUUGAUAGGCCGGGUGUGUAAGCGCAGCGAUGCGUUGAGCUAACCGGUACUAAUGAACCGUGAGGCUUAACCUU